AGAGAAGGGAGAGCCUUAGAGGAAGACGUACCUUUCCAGGCCCCACCUCCAGUGACCUCCUCUUCCAACCAGCCUGCGACUCUUGACAGGAAGCCAGCUAAAUCACCCCCAUGGUGCAGUCACCACCCAAAGCACCACCUCUAAGUGUAUGAGGGCUUUGAAGGACAUUCUGGAUCCAAACCAUUGCAGGAGAGAAGGGAGAGGCCAAGAAGGCUCUGUCCAACUAGAGAACUGUGGGACCAGCAGAAAAGUUUCAAGCCUGGGUCACCAGGAGACUCAAAGAGCUGCUGCCGCGACGCCCCACCCAGGGAGUCUCCCAGUGGAGAACAGGAAGUGCCUGGUGCCUCAGUUCUUCCCUUCAGUGACCACACCACAGGCUCGUCAAUACCUCUGACUCCGCAGGGGGUGACUGGCA
rnacentral:lncRNA from 1 species